rnacentral:lncRNA from 1 species
CCUGAGAGGCAGUCCCUGCAGCAGGCUUGAGCCUCUCUCACUGACAGCCUGCCUCGCAUAAUGUUAAGCAGGCAUCGGACACUUGCUGGAAGGCAGGGAAUUGCAAUGAAAGAGCACGGAGGUGAGAAGCUGUGCUCCUUGGGGUGAAGGCAGCUUCUGUGCUCCUGGGAUCUACUGUUAAGCCAGGGUGACGCCAGCUUGCAUGCUACCGGAGGGGUAAAAGCUGCAUAGAGAAAUGGGAGGCGGUGGGCACAAGGAUCGUGCGACGCCCCGCUGUGGGUGUGGGACCUGCAGCCUCAGGGGCAUGCGGGCUGGCAGCCACUGUCUCCAUGCCGGGUACGUAGAUACUGCCAUCACCUUGGGGUCAGCAUCUAGGGCCCUAUUGGAGCUCACACUCAGCUCUACUGGGCAUCAGAUUCUGUCUGGGAUGCACGGCGGGAAUUAGAGACAUGGGUUGGAAGUGGGGCUCAGAGAUCAGAGACAAAUGUGGCCAACUGAAAAUCAGGCUGGGCUCCAGCUCCGGCUGCAGAUGGGUGGAAAAGUCAGAGGUGCAGCAGCUGCUCCCCAGCCGCGAACGGCUGGUGAAAUGGGAAUCUGAUGGAAAGAGGCUGCACGGUGCUCACCUGAGUGGCCAGGCCUCCAGGCCCGGCGAGGGGGACUCUGAGGUGAGCAGGUCGGAGGUGCUCCUGGUUUUCCCAUCAGCCCUGGUCAGUGUCUGGGGGAUGCCCAGGAGAAGCAGCAGAAGCCCUGGGUCCCUGCUACCCAUGGAGUCUAGAGGGCCGAGCCUUUGCCCUGGGAUCGGGGAGCCAGGGCAUCACAGACACCUCCUGCCUCAUGCUGUCCCUGCGCCCCGGGGCAUCACUCAGAGACUCCUCCAUGGCAAGGGCGCUCUGUCUGGUGCCAGCCAGGAGCCAGGGGAAGAUUCGAUUAGGAGACUAUGGGUGCCUUCGCAGGCUUUCAGGAAACUCUGAUGGACUCAUGAGGCCUCUCUUUCCUGGUAGUGGCUCAGGGGUGCUGCAGUGUGUGGCUGGUGUGCUCCACGUCUGUCUUGUCUUCCAAGGGGACUCCCUGGAUCAGAGUUAGGCAGGGACAGGCGACCUGUUUCUGGGAUCUCCAAUCACUGCCACUGGAAUCUAAGGGGACUCACCCAAACCCACCCACAGGGCAAGCAGCUCUCCUCGCAAAUCAAUGAUGUUCCAAAUGAGUUUUUCCAGCAGAGCACACAGAGACCCCUCUUCAAUAACUGCUUAAUAUCUGUAAUAGGUCUUAUUAGUGUUUUCUAAGAUAGAGUCCUGUUGAGAAGGCCGGCUGAGCUCCCGUGUGUCUGGCAUCUGGCUCGGCAGAAGGGAUUUCCAUGUCUGCUUGCAGGCUGGGGCCCAGUCUGGCUCUGGAUGGAAUGCUGGCCUUGCACAAAGGAAGGGAGCUACAGAAGGCAGGAUUCAGAGGCUGAGUCCCCCAGGGAUGGAGGACACAAGAUGUGGAAUGCAGGUGUCCUGUGAGCAGGGGCAGGGAGCACGGAAGAGGGCAGUCUCAGGCUGUGCAGAAGGAAAGGCAGCAGCAGCUGCCCCGGCCCUCUAGGCUUCCUGGGUGAAACCCUUGGCUUUACAAAGACCCAUCUCUUGAGGGGCAUUUGGGGUGAGGCAGGAUGGAGAGGCCCUGGAGUAAUGAUGUCAGGGCAUGUGAAGGAAGAGAAGAAGUGGUUCUCUGUGCUGGGUUUUGGCAGAGAAGACUUGGAAAGGAUUUGAGUUAAUACAUUUUAAACAAUGAGUUUUCAAAGGUUGUUCCAGGCAGUCUCUGUAGAUGCCUCUCACGGGAGGAAGACAUCUCCAACCACAUUUCAGGAGCCAGCCCUGCAGCUUUAUCCAUGCCAACAGCUGAAAACAGCGCCAGGCAGCAAAUGUGCAAAGAAGCGUGUGGAGAUGCCAUGGGGAUUCAGGCCUUCAGCCUUGCCCUCCAGGAGAUGACCACAUUGGAAAGUUCUGCUCCACCGAGCUUUUGUAGGCGUUGUCAGAGAGCAGAGCGGUUCCACACCCUGCAUUGCAACGGAGGCUUAAUGCAGUGGCUGUGACUGUUCCCUCCACUGGGGAGUUCAGCGCAGAGCUCCCCGCUGCAAGGAUCUGUCUCUAAGCACCUGCCUCCCCGGAACAAGUCAUCACGACAACCAAGAGAGCUUGCAACCGAGACUACACAGCCCUCAUCCUUGUAAGGAAAAAAAGUGACAGAUGAGUCUUUGGCUCAGCAGAAUGGGCCUAGGUGGAGCUUGAAAUUAAUGAAGAGAUGCUGCUUCCAGCUUUUUGAGCAAGAAGAAGUUUGGCCUCCAGUUAUUACACCUUGAGGUCAGCGGGUAUCUCAAGUCUGAGUAGUUAUAAAAGUGAGCUGAUGUAGAAACACCACCAAAGCAACGUUUUAUCUAAAUAUUUCAGAUCCCCCAUUAUAAAUCAUUUAUUAUGAUUACCCUUUUGGUGUCAUGGAAUGAGAUGAUGAGCUUUUCUUAAUGAAGUAUUUCAUAGACAUAUUUUUUCCAUUUAUCUUGGUGUUGGAUGCUAUGUGACCUGAAUGGCAAAUGAGGAAAUAUUUGUGCAACUCCUGAAAUGCACACAUCUCCCCAUGCCAGAGUGCAGGAGCGGACAGGGCUUUCCCUGGCAGCAAUAGGAGCCCGGUCCUGAGUAGGGCCUCUCCAGCCUGACUGCACCAUAGCAGGUGACAUCUGACUUGGGGUGUGCCAUGUUCCCAGAGCUGCUUUUUUAAGGAGUUUGGUGGGAGCUGGAGGAAGCAUCCACAUCUUUAAAAACAAACCUUAACUCGUGAGAAGAAAAGUGGUAAACAUUCAAACACAAUUUGAACUUUUAAUUUAGCCUUGUGAGUUCAUCUAUAUCCAUUUCCAGGAAAGGUCAUGGGCUGAGGUGUGGUGCUUCACUGAAAUAAAUGCACUUUGGAGUUGACAGUAACCAAGCAAGGCCAGGGACCCUGAGGAGACCCCUCCCCACACUUGCAAUGAUCAAACAUGCUACAUCUUAGAAAUUGGAUCUGCCGGUUUAUGGCAACUUGACGUAAAAUGUGUAUCUCAGGUCAGGCUGAUCUGAUUUAAAUAUCUUAGUGUUAGGCAUUCUCUAUCUGACAUUGUGAAAACGCAUAUAAUGGAACCAAGAUUAGAAUAUCAAGAUGACAAGAAGGAUUGUACCUUGAAGACAGUAAAAGUCACUUGCAUUCUGGGGUUACACAUUUAAUUUAAAAUAGUUUUAUUCCCUGUUCCUAGGGUCCUUGUAACUCUCUCCUCUGCUAUAUUUAUAUUAAAUAAAUAAUUUUAAAUGAGUCAAAGUGUC